rnacentral:rRNA from 1 species
GGCGGCGUGCUUAACACAUGCAAGUCGAACGAGGAUAUACCAGAGGAGAGCUUCGGCAGGAAUCGGGUAUAUUCGAGUGGCGGACGGGUGAGUAACGCGUGAGCAACCUGUCCCAGACAGGGGGAUAACACUUGGAAACAGGUGCUAAUACCGCAUAAGACCACGGUAUCACAUGGUAGUGGGGUAAAAGGAGCAAUCCGGUUUGGGGUGGGCUCGCGUCCGAUUAGAUAGUUGGUGAGGUAACGGCCCACCAAGUCGACGAUCGGUAGCCGACCUGAGAGGGUGAUCGGCCACAUUGGAACUGAGAGACGGUCCAAACUCCUACGGGAGGCAGCAGUGGGGAAUAUUGGGCAAUGGGCGAAAGCCUGACCCAGCAACGCCGCGUGAGUGAAGAAGGCCUUCGGGUUGUAAAGCUCUGUUAUAGUUGACGAAGGAAGUGACGGUAGGCUAUAAGGAAGCCCCGGCUAACUACGUGCCAGCCGCGGC